rnacentral:rRNA from 1 species
UACGGAGGGUGCAAGCGUUAUCCGGAUUUACUGGGUUUAAAGGGUGUGUAGGCGGCUUUAAGUCAGUGGUGAAAUCUCCGGCUCAACCUGGAACUGCCAUUGAUACUAUUAGUCUUGAAUUUUGUUGAGGUAGGCGGAAUAAGUCAUGUAGCGGUGAAAUGCAUAGAUAUGACUUAGAACACCAAUUGCGAAGGCAGCUUGCUAAACAAAUAUUGACGCUGAGGCACGAAAGCGUGGGAUCAAACAGG